AGCCAGACUCCUACGGGAGGCAGCAGUGAGGAAUAUUGGUCAAUGGCCGAGAGGCUGAACCAGCCAAGUCGCGUGAGGGAUGACGGCCCUACGGGUUGUAAACCUCUUUUGUCAGGGAGCAAUUGGCGCUACGUGUAGCGUUAUCGAGAGUACCUGAAGAAAAAGCAUCGGCUAACUCCGUGCCAGCAGCCGCGGUAAUACGGAGGAUGCGAGCGUUAUCCGGAUUUAUUGGGUUUAAAGGGUGCGUAGGCGGAAUGCCAAGUCAGGGGUAAAAUCGCGGGGCUCAACCUCGCUCCGCCGUUGAAACUGGCGUUCUUGAGUGGGCGAGAAGUAUGCGGAAUGCGUGGUGUAGCGGUGAAAUGCAUAGAUAUCACGCAGAACUCCGAUUGCGAAGGCAGCAUACCGGCGCCCAACUGACGCUGAAGCACGAAAGCGUGGGUAUCGAACAGGAUUAGAUACCCGGGUAAA
rnacentral:rRNA from 1 species